rnacentral:rRNA from 1 species
CUUGGUCAUUUAGAGGAAGUAAAAGUCGUAACAAGGUUUCCGUAGGUGAACCUGCGGAAGGAUCAUUCAUAACGAGUGUUUAUGGCACUCUAAAAAUCCAUACCCACCUUGUGUGCAGCGUUAAGAGUCUUUUGUCUCUCUUUCAGAGGGCACGAGAUUUCUUUUAAUUAAUCUACCUUAAACCAGUUUGUCUGAAGCAUUGUAUCAUGAAUAAACAUAAUUCAAAAUACAACUUUCAACAACGGAUCUCUUGGUUCUCGCAUCGAUGAAGAACGCAGCGAAAUGCGAUACGUAAUGUGAAUUGCAGAAUUCAGUGAAUCAUCGAAUCUUUGAACGCACAUUGCGCUCUCUGGUAUUCCGGAGAGCAUGCUUGUUUGAGUAUCAGUAAAACACCCUCAGUUCUCUUUUUGAGAACUGGACUUGAGUCAUCCCAACGGCAGUUUCAAAACUACUGGCGUGUCGCUUGAAAUGCAGGUGCGGCUGGUCACAUCUUCUGAGCUAUAAGCAUUACUUAUUUAAUCCCGUCAGACGGAUUAUUUCUACUGCUACAGCUAUAUAAGGUCGAUUGUCCGUUUGCCCGACUGAUGCAGAAAAAACAGAGAGAAAUCUUUGUUCACUCGAUCUCAAAUCAAGUAAGACUACCCGCUGAACUUAAGCAUAUCAAUAAGCGGAGGA